CGUGCGCAUGCGUGGCCAGCGAGGUCCAGGGGCGCAGUGGGGGGAGCCCCCGGGUGGACAUCGGCCCCUUGCCUACGCAGGGCCGCCGCGAGGAUUUUCGGAGGGUCCGCCGCCGGGUCUGGGGAACCCAGCCUUCCAUGCCAAUCUACCGCUAGCUGGAGCUGCCCCAGCCCCGCUGGUCAGGGACCCUGGGUGAGGGCCAGCUUUCCGGUUAGCAUCACCUGGGGGGAGCAGGAGCGAGAGUAGGCCUCAAAAAUGACGUAAAAAGGCGCAGGCGACUCCUGUGUGCACUGUUGGGAGAGCUGUGAUUUAUCUAUCUAUCAGUGGGCUUUCCCUGCUCUCUGGCUGGUUCUGAGGGCUGGACCUCGCUCCCCGCCACUGCCACCCCCACCCCCCAGGAUUCAGUGGUCUCCUGCUGCUAUCAGAAGUGGCAUCUCAGGCCUGCCACUUGCUUUUGGAGUUGGGUGCAGAAGUGUCCUGACUCUCAGCCCCUUGGAAGGCCCAGGUGAUUCCUGUGCCCCACAAGACUGAGAGGCGCUGCUUCAAGAGAUUACAGCUGAAUAGAAAAAGAAAAGUCGGAAAAUGAUAGCAGUGAAAUGUAAGAGAAAAGUGGGGAAAAAGUAGUUCAGGAGGAGCACAGAGCCCUUGCUUCCCAUUUGUGUACACCUCUGCUCUGUGGGUACACCCCAUCUCUUCCAGCUGCCAACACACACACACACACACACACACACACACACACACACACACACGAGACAGAUGAAGAGAGGCAGAGAAAGAGAGAAAGCACUCCAUUUACCCUCACGUGUUUAGUUUUCUUUAGAAGAUGCUGUUCAAAAAUCUGCUCAGGUGAAUCUCGACGCCAAAGUGGCACCUUCACUACUGACUUCUCUCCCAGUGACUCUUUUGUCAGCUGUCGUGUCGCUGGAUUUUCACUUUAGGACCUGAACGCAGAACUUACUUACUUCCUACUGUAGAUGGCACUUUUCUCUGAGGACUCAUGCCUCACUCAUUUCUGGAACAAUUUAUGCCGAGGAUCAAGACCAUCUCUCCAGGGCUGUUUCUUUGCCUGAAGAUAAGAGGACACAAGUGGGUGACCUUCACAUUUUUUUCUCUAUGGAAUUGCCUGGUGUAGACAGAAAAACCCAACUGCAAAAACCUAACAAAGCACACCGUUUUCUUUGUAGUUAAACUGGUUGACCUUCCCCGUGCAAAGUAGAACUAGAAGACCGUGUGAGGCUGGAUCAUGAAUCCUCUUCCUUGUAUGUGGCAGAAGCAACUUGACUUUCUCUUGUUUAUAAACUUUCAAGAGUCUGAGGCACAUCAAUCAAAAGAGAAAAGGGACAACCAUCCGAGUCAGAGGCAUCAGGGAAGAACAGACACUCAUAGAAAUGUUACAGGAGAAGUUCAAGGAUCAUGAAGAACGACCAGCAAAGAGGAAGCAAUGGAUUUUCCCUACAGGUUUCACAAGAACAAGGCCCUACUGACAUCUUGAUUUCUGAUCUCUAUCCAUAAAAACUGGAUAGCUUCUGUAAAUUUAAGAGAAAAAAAAUAAAAAACACAAAAGCAAAC
rnacentral:lncRNA from 1 species